rnacentral:lncRNA from 10 species
UGGGCGCCUGUAGUCCCAGCUACUCGGGAGGCUGAGGCAGGAGAGUGGCGUGAACCCGGGAGGCGGAACUUGGAGUGAGCCGAGAUCGCGCCCCUGCACUCCAGCCUGGGCGACAGAGCGAGGCUCCGUCUCAAAAAAAAAAAAAAAAAAAGAGGCUGACAAAUGCAGUUUCUGGGAAAGAAACAUUUAGUAGGCACUUACAAACAGAAAUGAUGCCUCAGGUGUUUGCAAGAUAAGAUGGUGGAACUCCACGCUUACCUCCAGACCCAGGGCUCUGCAUCGGGAGUUUGCGUAAGGGUAAGAUUUACCUGAAGUAUGUGAAAGUGAAAGUAGAAAUCGUAGAGGCAUUCCCGGAACGAGAGUUAAUCAGAAGUCAACGUGGCGGAUUAGCAUCCACGAUGGAGUUGCUUUAGCUUCCACAGCUGGUUUGGACUGCUGAGACGCAACAUGAAUCACUGACUCCGCUGUGACACUCCUAGAAAUGAAGGCAACUGCUCCCUGGACAAGGUGCUUGGUCAGCCAUGGCAGAGGAAUUUCUAUAAUAUACAAAUACUCUUGCAAAUCAGUGGAAAAAUGAUGAAUGCCUUCCCAACCCGAAAGAAGCAGAAUUCACUAAAGAGAAAGUGAGAAUUGCCAGUAGACACUUGACAAGAUGCUGGAAAACAAAAGACAUGCAGAAUAAAACAGUAUCGGGCAAUUUUUCCACCUGCUAGACUGAUAAAUAUUUGUAAAGAUUUCUAUUUCCGGUGUAGAUGAUAAAAUGAGGGAUAGGCACUUUUGAUGUGAGUAUAAAGUAUAACAGUUUUGUAGAGAGAGUCAGUCAUAUUUAUCAUGCUUUAAAAUGUUCAUAUCCUUUACCCAGCAAUUCCACCUUUUCUAGAAACUUAUUCCAAGGCAAUCCAAAUACAAAUCUCUGAAGAGGCUAGAUGCAGUGGCUCAUGCCUAUAAUCCUAGCACUUUGGGAGGCUGGCAGGAGCAUCACUUGAGCCCAGGAGUUUGAGACCAGCCUGGGCAACAAGGCGAAACCCCGUCUUUAGAAAAAACACAACGAUUAGCUGGGCGUGGUGGCGUGUGCCUGUAGUCCUAGCUACUUGGGAGGCUGAGGUGGGAGAAUCGCUUGAGCCUGGGAGGUUGAGGCUUCAGUGAGCCAUGAUUAAGCCAUUGCACUCCAGCCCAGGCGACAGAGUAAGACCCUGUCUCAACAACAACAACAACAACAAACAAUCUAUACAGAGGCACAGAGAUGACAUUCAUAAUCAAUGUUAUGAGUCUAGGCUUGCUUUAUGACAGGUUCUAUGUACAAUACUUUAGCAUCAUUGAAUUCUCAUGGCCACUAAAGCAAUGUGUAGUUUACCUUGAAUAACAUGGGGGUGAGGGGUAAUGAACCCUCCUCCUGCUGAAAAUCCAAGUUUAACUUUUGACUUCCCCAAAACUUAACUGCUAAUAGCCUACUGUUGACUGGAAGCUUUGCUGAUAACAUAAGCAGUCAAUUAACUUAUAUUUUGUAUGUUAUAUGUAUUACAUACUGUAUUCUCAAUGAAGUAAGCUAGAGAAAAGAAAAUGUUACUAAGAGAAUCAUAAGGAAGAGAAAAUAUAUUUCCUAUUGAUUAAGCAGAACUGAGUCUUCAUAAAGGUCUUCAUCCUCAUCAUCUUCACACUGAGUAGGCUGAGGAGGAAGAGGAAGGGGGGGUUGGUCUUGCUCUGUCAGGGUCAGCAGAGGCAGAAGAAAAUCCAAGUGCAAAUGAGCCCACGCAGUUCAAACCCGUGUUGUUCAAGGGCCAACUGUACUAUUGUUAGUGUUCACUUUAUAAAUGAUAAAACUGAGGCUUGGAAAGAAAAACAUGCUCAAGGUCAUUCCACUUGCAAUGAGCAAACCCUGGUCAGUGCUUGCUCCAAAGCCUGUGCCUGUGGUUCUAUCCCACGCAUUGUUAUUUGCAACAGCAAAAUCUAUAGGCAGGUCCAGGUUCAUUAAGGUGGAUGACGUAAAUUGUGGCUCAUCCAGACAAAGCAAUAGUACCCAGCUAUAGGAAUGAAGGAAGUAAGGCCGGGCACAGUGACUCACGCCUGUAAUCCCAGCACUUUAGGAGGCCGAGGCCAGUGGAUCACCUGAGGUUGGGAGUUCGAGACCAGCCUGACCGACGUGGAGAAACCCCAUCUCUACUAAAAAUACAAAAUUAGCUGGGCAUGUUGGCGCAUGCCUGUAAUCCCAGCUACUAAGGAGGCUGACGCAGGAGAAUUUCUUGAACCCGGGAGGUGGAGGUUGUAGUGAGCCGAGAUUGUGCCAUUGAACUCCAGCCUGGGCAACAAGAGCGAAACUCUGUCUCAAAGAAAAAAAAAAAAGGGAAAAAGAAAUGAAGGAAGUAGAUGUGUAUAUACUAGAGAGAUCAACAUGAUAUGUAGACAAAGAAAGCAAGAUGGUCAAAAUAGUGAUUAUUCUAUUUUUGUUUAAAAAUAAUAAUAAUUAGUGAUGGAUGUGAUUACCUCUGAAUGCUUCAUAAUUAAAAAAAUUUUAAUUUGGAAAUAAUAUUAAACUUUUAGAAAAGUGUGAUAAGAAGCCAAGUCACUCCUGGUCCUGCCCCAGUGCUCAAAAUUACAGCCUUCCUCUACCUUCUCUGCCUUCUCUGGAUUCCCAGAGGAGAUGCCUUCCCUCCUGUUCAGGAAUAAGCCCUUACUUUUCGUCUUAAUUAGAUCCCUUCAGUUCAGCAGCCCCCACUCACCCUGCUGUUAUUUAACCUUUUCCCUCCUAUCCUGACUUCUUUCUCUCAACUUCAAAGAUUUUCAGGUCCUUCACUGCUUCAAAACCUUACCUGCUAGCUACCUUCUUCCAGGAAGAUCCUUAAAACCUUUGUCUUCUGUCACUCGCUCUUCCUCCUCACUCCUUCCCCAAACUUCUAGUCCCUGCCGCCCUAGGGCUUCCCCUCCAGCAUGCCAUUCAGUGACAAUUCUUUUUUAUUGAGACCGAGUCUGGCUCUGCCUCCCAGGCUGGAGUACAGUGGUGCAAUCUGGGCUCACUGAAA